CUGCACGUUGCACCCCGGGCUUCUCUGAAUAAAAGAAAAUGUCGAAUGAAGUCCCAAUGCUCGUGCUAGAUUAUUUUGCCGUUCGUGUUGCAGUUUAGCCUUUUUUUUAUGGCUGAGUUGUGUCUUAAUCAACGGCCAAAUCU